UAGUUUAACGGCCGCGGUACCCUAACCGCGCGAAGGUAGCAUAAUCAUUUGUUCUUUAAAUGAGGACUUGUAUCAACGGCACCACGAGGGUUUUACUGUCUCCUUUCCCUAAUCAGUGAAACUAAUCUCCCCGUGAAGAAGCGGGGAUAAACCUAUAAGACGAGAAGACCCCAUGGAGCUUUAGACGAAGCUACAAUCCAAUUUUACACGCCCAUUUAUUAAGCAGGAUUUAUGUAAGCUCAGUUUUAGGUUGGGGUGACCGCGGAGUAUAAGUUAACCUCCACGAUAGACGAAACUUUUCUUAUCUAAGAAUUACAUUUCUAAGAAUUAGUAUACUAAUAUUUAAUGAUCCGAUAAUCGAUCAACGGACCAAGUUACCCUGGGGAUAACAGCGCAAUCCAUUUUAAGAGCCCCUAUCGACAAAUGGGUUUACGACCUCGAUGUUGGAUCAGGAUAUCCUAGUGGUGCAGCAGCUACUGAAGGUUCGUUUGUUCAACGAUUAAAAUCCUACGUGAUCUGAGUUCAGACCGGA
rnacentral:rRNA from 1 species